ACCCAAGUGUGUGUUCUGGUCGUGAGUUCUAACAGGAGAAAAAGGGGUUUCCCUAAUGAACCCUGAAAUACACAAAAUCAACCAAAUCAAGAGGGCAAAUCAAGUCUAAAUCGAAAACCAAGCUAGGAUUAGUGAUCACUCGGGCUAGAGGAUCACAAGUUUGACACUAAACAAGCUAGGAAGGAGCUUGGAAAGAAACGGGUCAAAUGGAUGAUGAUUGCGAAGAAUGUUUGCGCGGACGCGAUGAUAAAUCGGCUUAUGAAUUAGCGAUGCUAUGAAUUAACGAUUAUUGAGACAAGGUAUUAAAAGGGGUCAAUAUGUUGAUCCGAACCUGGAGAAUGUUAUAUGCUUCCGGAUGAAGAUCAAGCCACGAGUCAGAACCAAACACAUCUCUCAAUGAAGCUUCCGCAUUCGAUCUUGUUUUGUUUUAAUAAAACUGGAUUAUGUAAACACUUUUAACGAUGUUUUGGAUGUUGUAAACAUGUUCAAAUACUUAUGAUGUAAAAGUUUUGUUAAGUGGCAUUUUUCAUAUAAAAUGCUUACUUUAAUGUUAUGUAAAUGUUUAAAAAUUA